UGAGAACUGAAUUCCUUGGGUUG
rnacentral:miRNA from 1 species